rnacentral:misc_RNA from 1 species
AUGAGGAGGUUGUGGAAAAUGUUUCUGAGAAGGAUGAAAAUGAGAAUGGGAGUGAUGGAGGAUCGGAUGUUGGUGCAACUGGAAAUGAGAAUAAUGAGGAGGCGGAGUAUGUGGGUGGAAAUGUGGAAAAUAGUAGCGUCAGAAAUGAUGUUAAGGGGAGUCAUGAUGUUUGUAUGGAAGAGACUGUAUAUUAUAAUGAUGAAAUUGGGAAGGAUGCGGUCAAGAAUAAAAUUUCGGGAAGUGAGGAUAAGGAGGUUGAGCCAAAAGGCGAGGAAGUGGGGAAUAAGAUAGAAAUGGAAAAUUUGAUUGCAAAGGAGGAGGAGGAGUUGUCGUGAUAGUUUUGUGAUUGAGAUUGUGCAGGACAAAGUGGCCGAAGUAAAGGAUGAAGAAUCAAACUUAGGGAAGAGCAUUGGCAGCGGUG